GGUAAGGAAGGACUUCAUAAUGCAUAGUGGAUCUUGAUUCCUUUGGAAGUAUGGCUUGAUUCUUAUUAUUCCUCAACGAGUUUGAUCUCCUUCUUCUCGAGUCUUGAUGUCUUCAUCCGGGUUUGGGACAAGAGGUUAAGAUAGAUCUGUAGGCAACAGAUGGGUAGAGGGUUUAGUAGGUAGCUAUAUGAUAGAUGGGAUUAGUUAUGUAACCUGUUUUGUAGGUCAAGUUAUUAGGUGUGGCCAAAUUGAUCUAAGUCACCAAUUUAGGCGUAUGUGAAUUAGGAGUAUGGCCUUAUCUUUUGUAACAGCAUUAAGUAACUCAAUCUAGCUUAGAUCAUAAUAAAUUAGAUAGAAUCCAGAUUAGGUUGGUAUGACUAGAUUAAACUAGUUAAGAUUAGAUAGAUCUACCGAGGUGGGAUAAAUAUUAUUAGGAUAUGCUAGAAUCUUUUAAGAAGGAUGGACAUUGUUUAGGCUAGAUAUUUUAAUGAGUGAUAAUCUAAGUUGAUUAGUUAUCUUAUGAAUUUUUUUUAUUUAUAUUUAUGCCUAUAUGUAUAUGCAGAUGUAAUUGUGGACAUUACUCCACAACUCAUCACACUCAAUCAAAGAUCCAAAUUAGACAUGUAUCAUAAGAACAAACAUUCAAGCAUACAAAUAUUUACAAAAAUACUUUUGAUUUUGUUCCUAAGAGUGGGUCUCCUAUCCCUAAAGGUCACUUUAGGUACGGAAUUUCAAAGUGUGAAAUCCACAUUUGCCUUUUAGAAAGAAAAGGUAAGAAUAAUCAGAGUGAAGCGGAAAUAGAUGAGAAAAGAUUAAGAAAAGCUUAGUAAAGAAUCAGAGUAGCAAAGGUAAGUAAGUAAUGAUUGUCCAGUUCUAUCUAGGUUUCGUCCUACAGUCAACAUUCCUCUGAUACCACUUCUGUCACACCCGGAUUUUAGGGGUCCAAAACCCGAGCGCGAACAUAAACACCAGGUGUGCUGGGACCAAGUCUCACACAUAUGAUGCAUAGUGGCACAGGAUCGAAUGUCACAUCUUUACUAUAUAACAGGAGUUCUAUACAAAAUAAAUAAGUAAUUACAUUAUAAGGAGACAACGGUCCAGCAACCCAAAGUUGACUGGGAGACGACGGCCUAGAUCUCUCACGAACACAUCACAGCAUCCUCCAUGCGCCUCAUCCUGCGGUACCUGUUCUUGACCUGUGGGGGGUGUGAGACAGCAAGAGUGAGCUCACAUACGUUCAUCGCUCAACAAGUUGUGGGGAAUAAUGUGCAUGAACUCGCCAAAGGUGGGAGCUCACGUGAAGUGUAAGGCUUACCAAAGAGGAUGGUUAGAGCUGAGCAUUGCUUUUAAAGUUGGUCAAAAUUUUAUUAGCAAUUACUAAGUAAAAUACCAACCCAAUUAAGUAGUAGAACAAAAGUAACAUCAUCACCUGCGAAUCUACGAUGCAAUGCAUAUGACAAAUUGAAUUUAGUUCCAUAAAUUAAUCAUCAGAGAGUCCUGAGCUGCUCAUGACCGUGAGCUCGGCUAGUAUACCAGUUUUACACUCUGCAGAGGUGGUACCCUUUACCCACAAGUCAUGUUACCCAUCUGCCAAGGGAUCGCGACUUCCCAUACACCUCUACCGAGGAGGCGAGGCAGGGUAACACUACGAGGCCUUUACAAAGUUCCACUAGCUUCAGAAAACCCGCUACAGUUUAUAGGAAGCUCCAAUGCAGGAAUCCCUUGCAGGACCGCCAUCGCAGCAAAAUCCUCCCGAGGGCCUCCCUACACUGACCACUCCCCUACUGCCCUUGCCCCUUUCGGGUAAGGUAGUCCUCCACUAGCUUUCCUAAUUAAUCAGCCAAGGGCGUCCAUAAACCCUUGUGGUGGCACGUGUUUCUCAAGUUAAGCUCUAUGUUCCAAUUAACAUUUAAUGAUCUUGUCAUGAACAUAAAUAAAAUAACAACAUAACUGGAACAUAGAUAUAAUAAAAUAUUAACCCAAAACCAUAUAAAGCAGUAGCAGAACUACCCAAGUGAUUCAGGGGUAAACAAGGUAUUGAGAUAAAAAAAUCUAGGGUAACCUAUUAGGUCCCAUCAAAAUUAACCUAUGCAGAUCAUUAUGAUUAAUUAGAACAUGAGUGGGUAAAAGAAGUGAUCAAGGGCACAACUUGCCUCGGACUUGAGAUUCCAGGUACCAACUUGCUCUUCAGAUGACACGUGUCCUCACUGCUAAACGUAGCAAUACAGACAAACAUGGUAUAGACAAAAUGAACAUCACAUGAAACAUAUAAACAAAAUACACAGUAAUAAUCUACAUAUUAAAAUAGAAUCCUAGGAACAUGAAUCAUAAUUUUUGGAGUUAUAGAUUUUAAGUUAUGAAUUUUCAAAGGUUUCGUGUGUUUUAAAUAGAAUUAAGUGAUAAAUAAAUUUUAUUACUGUUUUCAUGACAAACCAGAGACUCUAAGUGAUAGAGAAUAAAAUUACAAAAUUUUAGGAACUGAAAUGAAGUGAUUUGGAGUUCAUAUGAAUUUUCUAUGAAAUAAACAAGUUCUAGCCUUUUAUUUUUACACUAAAAUUCCAUUUUCUAUUCAUUUAUUCGAUUUAAACGAUCUCUGGACUGGGCCUCAAAAUAUGAGAACAGCAGGGGGCUCGGGGCAAAAAUCCCCAAGGCACAGAGACAAGCCGUGCAGGACGGCGGGUUGGUUUCUCAUAAGCCUAGGGUUUCUUUAGCAAAAUGCCUGGCCGAAGGGUUAUUGACCAAUCUUGGCCGAUGGAUUAGAAACGGGUGGCACAGAUUAGAUCUAGCCAUCAAGUGACUCGGUGCGCGUCCUAGCCACUGGAUCAAGAUCGUGCGGUCGAGAAUAAGCCCAACCGAACCGGUACGUGGAAGCUAAUCAGAGCCGUUCAUCCCCAAUCCAAGGGCGCCAGUUCAUCUUCUUCCACUCGCUACUCCCACCAGGCGGACCACACGCCGAGCGGCACCAUGGACAGAGCCGAGUUCGCCGUACUAGCGGUCCCGCCCCACUGGUCACUCUCUCUUCACUACUCCCGAUCCUUGCCGCGGCCGAGCCAGGAAACCACCCAGAUGCACCGAGGAGGAAUCCAUCCGGGACCUCCAUCGUUUAUUUCGCGAUAGACGGCCACAGGCCCUUCUUCUUCCCAUCUGGCAACGACGCCGGUGACUUCCGCACCCCUCCCACGGCGGCGCCCAGAUCUCUGAAGCGACGAGUGCCCGCGAACACCCGCCCAAGGUUCUAGGGAAACAUCCGAACUCUAACGGGAGCAACAGAGGUGGAAUGCAUUCGUAAACAUGGCAGGAUGGCUUACCAGAGUUCAUGCCGUAAAGAAUUCCGACCACGCACCCAAGCGGUCCACGACGGAGCCAUGAUUCAGGCGAGAAAUCGACGGUGUUCUAGUGGAUCCCGCGCCCAGAGCUUCCACCAAACGCACGGACGGGCCUUCUCUUCUCCCCGAGCGAGGUGCGAGCCUCGGGUUGCAAGGCGCACUCGCCCGAGAUCUCCCUAGCCUGAUUUGUUUAUGGCGAUAACCAGCCGCGUUCACGUACUUAUACCCGAGGUCAGGUGCGGUGUUCGGUCUCAAGCGCCUAACGGCUGACGAGAUACGCGGCAGCAAGUCCGCCCAGUUCGCGCGGCAAGGGAUUUGGCCAAGGCCGCAAUGAACUGUUCCGCGAAAAUUCUUGGCAUCACGGCGCGAGGUAAACGAUGACCCAGACUAUCUAGGCCCACGUGUAGGUGAGUCGGAGCUAGCGCCAGAGUAAAGAGGCCGACGACGCGGGCCUAUAUUACAGAGACACAAUGAGGCGGUAAGGACGUGGCCCACAUGGCGGUGGAAGAGGAGACUGACCACUGGGGCCCCCGCGCAGAGAAAAACUCCAAAGUGCGUGCGGCAGGGAUGCUGGGCCGCGUGGGGGCAAAAUGCCCAAUUGGGCCGACCAGGGACACAUUUGGCCCAGGCGCUGUUUAGGAGUUCUUUUUUUGUUUAUUCCCCUAUUUUAUUUUCUGUUUUAAACUUUAAAUUUGUGAAUGUCCAAAUUCAAAUUUCUGUUUUGAAUUUUUCAGAUCCCAAUCACAACAUAAUCAUAAGGUGAAUAUAAAUCCUAUUAUUAUUAUUUAUCCUUCUUUCUAUUAUUUUAAUUCUAAAAAAAUGACUCUAUCACAAUUUUCUUUCACAUUUUUCUGUUUUAUAUUUAUAAUUCAAGUUAUGAUUCUUUUUUUAAAAAAAAUGCAUCACAACAAAAUCACCAACAUGAGAUACACAUUCCUGUAUUUAUUUAUUUGUUAUUUGACCAAUAUAAUUCCAUCAAUUGAAUAUGCACAAAUUAAAAAAAAUCAAAUAAUCUCCAAAGAAUUUUCUAUAAAUGCAUGUACUUAUUUAUUUUAUUAUUUUUAUCUUAUACAAAUUUUAGGGCUUUACAAAAGUUGUGACAUUCGAUCCUGUGCCAUGAUUCAUCAUAUGUGUGAGACUUGGUCCCAGCACACCUGGUGUUUAUGUUCGCGCCCGGGUUUUGGAUCCCUAAAAUCCGGGUGUGACAGGUACCCUCAAGACUCCUAAUUGUCAGCUGGUAACCCCCAUCAGCAUAAAGCUGCAAAGGCCUGAUGAGUGCGAUUAAGUUAGGGAUGAGUCCAUUCGAGCGACUCGAUCAUGCCUCGCCCGAGCCUAGCCUCGGACAAGGGCAGCCGACCCCGGGAGAUUUCCGUUUCGCCCGAGGCCCCCCUCCAACGGCAGACACAUCUCCGGCUCGCCCGAGGCCCUGCCUUCGCUAAGAAGCAACCCUGACUAAAUCGCCGCACCGACCGACCGAAUCGCAGGAGCAUUUAAGGCAAAGGUGGCCUGACACCUUUAUCCUGACGCACGCCACCCGGCAGAGCCGAAGUGACCGCCGUCACUUCGCCGCUCCACUGACCGGCCUGACAAAAGGACAGCGCCGCCUGCGCCACUCCGACUGCAGUGCCACUUGACAGAGUGAGACUGACAGGCAGUCAGGCCCUGCCAGAGGCACCAUAGGAAGCUCCGCUCCGCCCGACCCAGGGCUCGGACUCGAGCUAAGUCCCGGAAGACGGCGAACUCCGCUCCGCCCGACCCAGGGCUCGGACUCGGGCUAGGUCCCGGAAGACGGCGAACUCCGCUCCGCCCGACCCAGGGCUCGGACUCGGGCUAGGUCCCGGAAGACGGUGAACUCCGCUCCGCCCGACCCAGGGCUCGGACUCGGGCUAGGUCCCGGAAGACGGCGAACUCCGCUCCGCCCGACCCAGGGCUCGGACUCGGGCUAAGUCCCGGAAGACGACGAACUCCGCUCCGCCCGACCCAGGGCUCGGACUCGGGCUUAGCCCCGGAAGACGACGAACUCCGCUUCGCCCGACCCCAAGGCUCGGACUUCGCCCUGGCCUCUGCCGAACGACCUCCGCCUCGCCCGACCCAGGGGCUCGGGCUCGGCCUCGGCCAUGGAAGACAGACUCGACCUCGGCUUCGGAGGAGCCUCCACGUCGCCCAACCUAGGGCGCAGGCCAGCCACGUCAACAGGAAGCACCAUCAUCACCCUACCCCGAGCUGACUCGGGCCGUAGAGAACAAGACCGGAGUCCCAUCUGGCUAGCUCCGCCAGAUAGGCAAUGAUGGCGCCCCGCAUGCUCUGUGACGACGGCGGCUCUCAGCUCUCUUACGGAAGCAGGAGGACGUCAGCAAGGACUCAACCGCUCUGACAGCUAUCCCUCCGCCAGGCUCCGUCGCUCCUCCGACGGCCACGACAUCACACCAGCUGGGUGCCAAAAUCUCUCCGGCUGCCACAUCGGCAUGUACUUAGGGCGCUAACUCUCCCCCGCUAGACACGUAGCACUCUGCUACACCCCCAUUGUACAUCUGGAUCCUCUCCUUACGCCUAUAAAAGGACCAGGGCCCUCUUAGAGGAGGUUGGCCGCGCGGGGUCGAGGACGGGACAGGCGCUCUCUUGGGGCCGCUCGCUUCCCUCUCCCGCGUGGACGCUUGUAACCCCCUACUGCAAGCGCACCCGACCUGGGCGCGGGACGAACACGAAGGCCGCGGGAUUCCCACCUCUCUCACGCCGGUCACCGGCCGCCUCGCUCCUUCCCCCCUUCGCGCUCGCCCACGUGCUCGACCCAUCUGGGCUGGGGCACGCGGCGACACUCACUCGUCGGCCCGAGGGACCCCCCAGUCUCGAAACGCCGACAGUUGGCGCGCCAGGUAGGGGCCUGCUGCGUGUUGACGAACAGCUUCCCGUCAAGCUCCAGAUGGGCAGUCUCCAGCAACCUCUCCGACCCGGGAUGGUGCUCCGUUUCGGGAGUCUUGAGUUCAUGUCCUUCGACGGCAGCUACGACAUGAUACUCCUUCCACCGCCGCGCGACAACGACAAUGGCGGUCGACAGCCCGCCCGCCGGCGGCGGAAUCGACGACGUCUUCCCCGCGUGGUGGAAGAACAACAUUCGAGUUCGCCCCGUCCUCUCCCCCGCCAACGGAGGAGGAGGCGGGGCAACCAAGGCCAAGCGGGAGGCCGCGCCUCGUCGGCUGUCGAGCGAGUCGACGUCCCCAGCGCCCCAACGGGGGGCGCGUCGGGCGUCGACCUCGCGUUUGAGACGAAGGCGAGCGCUGUCUCCCCGCGACACGCCAAUCCCGAGCAAGUGGACGACGCCAGUGCGCUCGCGGAGAGCUUGCAGGAAGUCGCCCUCGUACCUGAGACGACGGUGCAAUCAGUCCCCGACAUGACUAUGUCGCUGCUCGUCGACCGAAAGGUACCGACCGAUUCCCAUCCUACGUCAUUUGGACUCAACCACAACCCGCCUAGCGACCUUGCUUUGGCGGGCGCCCUCGUAAAGGCGAGAUCAAACCCUCUGGGGUUUCGCAUGCGGUCGCCUUGGGACCGGCUGACGGACGUCUCGACCUACGGGCCCUCUGGGUCCGAGGAAGAUGACGACCCCAACAUCUGUUGGGAUUUCUCUGGAUUUGGCAACCCCAGUGCCAUGCGGGACUUCAUGACCGCAUGUGACUACUGCCUCUCUGACUGUUCCGACGGUAGCCGCAGCCUCGACGACGAGGACUGCGGCCCAAGCCGCGAAUGUUUCCACGUCGAUCUAGGGGAUCCCUCCGAAGGCAAUCAUCUCGGCAUGCCGGAGGGCGGUGAUCUCCCUAGGUCGGUGCCUCGCGCUGACAUCCCACGGAAGCUAGCUGUGGUCCCCGUUCCGGCGGGGGGUCACGACCCACAGCUCGAGCAAGUCCGAGGGGCGCAGGCCAGGCUCGACGAGGGAGCAGGAGCGCUUGAGCCGAUCCGCCGGGACGUCGGGCAGGCAUGGGCAGGCCAACCCCCGGCCGGAGAAAUACGUCACCUGCCCCAGGGUCUCCAGCACCGCGUCGCCGACGGCGUCAGGGUCAGGCCGCCACCCGCAUCCAGUGGGGUCGGUCAGAACCUGGCUGCAGCAGCGAUGCUUCUCCGCGCGAUGCCGGAGCCAUCAACCACCGAGGGUCGGCGAAUCCAGGGAGAGCUCAAGAAUCUCCUGGAAGGCGCUGUGGUCCGACGGGCCGAGAGCUCUGCCUCCCGAAGGCAGGGAUACCCCUCGGAACCUCAUGCCGCGACUUCCCGAUUCAUGCGGGAAGCCUCGGUCUACACCGGGCGCACGCGCAACACCGCGCCUGCGGCCCCGGGCCACCUCGGCAACGAGCACCAUCAUCGCGACCGUCAGGCCCACCUCGACGAGAGGGUGUGCCGAGGUUACCACCCCAGGCGUGGGGGACGCUACGACAGCGGGGAGGAUCGGAGUCCCUCGCCCGAACCACCCGGUCCGCAGGCCUUCAGCCGGGCCAUCCGACGGGCACCGUUCCCGACCCGGUUCCGACCCCCGACUACUAUCACAAAGUACUCGGGGGAAACGAGACCGGAACUGUAGCUCGCGGACUACCGCCUGGCCUGCCAACUGGGUGGAACGGACGACGACAACCUCAUCAUCCGCAACCUCCCCCUGUUCCUCUCCGACACCGCUCGCGCCUGGUUGGAGCACCUGCCUCCGGGGCAGAUCUCCAACUGGGAUGACCUGGUCCAAGCCUUCGCCGGCAAUUUCUAGGGCACGUACGUGCGCCCCGGGAAUUCCUGGGACCUCCGAAGCUGCCGGCAGCAGCCGGGAGAGUCUCUCCGGGACUACAUCCGACGAUUCUCGAAGCAGCGCACCGAGCUGCCCAACAUCACCGACUCGGAUGUCAUCGGCGCGUUCCUUGUCGGCACCACCUGCCGCGACCUGGUGAGUAAGUUGGGUCGCAAGACCCCCACCAGGGCGAGCGAGCUGAUGGACAUCGCCACCAAGUUCUCCUCUGGCCAGGAGGCGGUCGAAGCUAUCUUCCGAAAGGACAAGCAGCCCCAGGGCCGCCCAUCGGAAGAUGCUCCCGAGGCGUCUACUCCGCGCGGCGCCAAGAAGAAAGGCAAGAAGAAGUCGCAAGCGAAACGCGACGCCGCCGACGCGGACCUUGUCGCCGCCGCCGAGUACAAGAACCCUCGGAAGCCCCCCGGAGGUGCUAACCUCUUCGACAAGAUGCUCAAGGAGCCGUGCCCCUAUCAUCAGGGGCCCGUCAAGCACACCCUUGAGGAGUGCGUCAUGCUUCGGUGCCACUUCCACAGGGCCGGGACACCCGCGGAGGGUGGCAGGGCCCGCGACGACGACAAGAAGGAAGAUCACCAAGCAGGAGAGUUCCCCGAGGUCCGCGACUGCUUCAUGAUCUACGGUGGGCAUGCGGCGAAUGCCUCGGCUCGGCAUCGCAAGCAAGAGCGGCGGGAGGUCUGCUCGGUGAAGGUGGCGGCGCCAGUCUACCUAGACUGGUCCGACAAGCCCAUCACCUUCGACCAAGCUGACCACCCCGACCACGUGCCGAGCCCGGGGAAAUACCCGCUCGUCGUCGACCCCGUCGUCGGCGACGUCAGGCUCACCAAGGUCCUUAUGGACGGGGGCAGCUGCCUCAACAUCAUCUACGCCGAGACCCUCAGGCUCCUGCGCAUCGAUCUGUCCUCCGUCCGAGCAGGCGCUGCGCCCUUCCACGGGAUCAUUCCCGGGAAGCGCGUCCAGCCCCUCGGACGACUCGAUCUUCCCGUCUGCUUCGGAACGCCCUCCAACUUCCGAAGGGAGACUCUGACGUUCGAGGUGGUCGGGUUCCGAGGAACCUACCACGCGGUACUGGGGAGGCCAUGCUACGCGAAGUUUAUGGCCGUCCCCAGCUACACCUACUUGAAGCUCAAGAUGCUGGGCCCCAACGGGGUCAUCACCGUCGGCCCCACGUACAAACACGCGUUCGAAUGCGACGUGGAGUGUGUGGAGUACGCCGAGGCCCUCGCCGAGUCCGAGGCCCUCAUCGCCGACCUGGAAAGCCUCUCCAAAGAGGUUGCAGACGUGAAGCGCCAUGCCGGCAACUUCGAGCCAGUGGAGACGGUCAAGGUCGUCCCCCUCGACCCCAGUGGCGACGCCUCCAAGCAGAUCCGGAUCGGUUCCGGGCUCGACCCCAAAUAGGAAGCAGUGCUCGUCGACUUUCUCCGCGCGAACGCCGACGUCUUCGCGUGGAGUCCCUCGGACAUGCCCGGCAUACCAAGGGAUGUCGCCGAGCACUCGCUGGAUAUCCGGGCCGGAGCCCGACCCGUCAAGCAGCCUCUGCGCCGAUUCGACGAGGAGAAGCGCAGAGUGAUAGGCGAGGAGAUCCACAAGCUAACGGCAGCCGGGUUCAUCAAAGAGGUAUUCCAUCCCGAAUGGCUUGCCAACCCUGUGCUUGUGAGAAAGAAAGGGGGAAAUGGUGGAUGUGUGUAGACUACACUGGUCUCAACAAAGCAUGUCCGAAGGUUCCCUACCCUCUGUCUCGCAUCGAUCAAAUCGUGGAUUCCACUGCUGGGUGCGAAACCCUGUCUUUCCUCGACGCCUACUCAGGGUAUCACCAAAUCAGGAUGAAAGAGUCCGACCAGCUCGCGACUUCUUUCAUCACACCCUUCGGCAUGUACUGCUAUGUCACCAUGCAGUUCGGUUUGAGGAAUGCGGGCGCGACGUAUCAGCGGUGCAUGAACCAUGUGUUCGGCGAACACAUCGGUCGCACGGUCGAGGCCUACGUCGAUGACAUCGUAGUCAAGACAAGGAAAGCUUCCGACCUCCUCUCCGACCUUGAAGUGACAUUCCGAUGUCUCAAAGCGAAAGGCGUCAAGCUCAAUCCCGAGAAGUGUGUCUUCGGGGUGCCCCGGGGCAUGCUCUUGGGGUUCAUCGUCUCCGAGCGGGGCAUCGAAGCCAACCCGGAGAAGAUCGCAGCCAUCACCAGCAUGGGGCCCAUCAAGGACUUAAAAGGCGUACAGAGGGUCAUGGGAUGUCUCGCGGCCCUGAGCCGCUUCAUCUCACGCCUCGGCGAAAGAGGCCUGCCUCUGUACCGCCUCUUAAGGAAGGCCGAGUGCUUCGCUUGGACCCCUGAGGCCGAGGAAGCUCUCGGGAACCUGAAGGCGCUCCUCACAAAGGCGCCUAUCUUGGUGCCUCCAGCUGACGGAGAAGCCCUCUUGGUCUACGUCGCCGCGACCACUCAGGUGGUUAGCGCCGCGAUUGUGGUCGAGAGGCAAGAAGAGGGGCAUGCAUUGCCCGUUCAGAGGCCAGUUUACUUCGUCAGCGAGGUACUGUCCGAGACCAAGAUCCGCUACCCACAAGUUCAGAAGCUGUUGUAUGCAGUGAUCCUGACGAGGCGGAAGUUGUGACACUACUUCGAGUCUCAUCCGGUAACUGUGGUGUCAUCCUUCCCCCUGAGGGAGAUCAUCCAGUGCCGAGAGGCCUCGGGCAGGAUUGCAAAUUGGGCGGUGGAAAUCAUGGGCGAGACAAUCUCGUUCGCCCCUCGAAAGGCCAUCAAGUCCCAGGUAUUGGCGGACUUCGUAGCCGAAUGGGUCGACACCCAGCUACCGACGGCUCCGAUCCAACCGGAGCUCUGGACCAUGUUUUUCGACGGGUCGCUAAUGAAGACGGGAGCCGGCGCGGGCCUACUCUUCAUCUCGCCCCUCGGGAAACACCUACGCUAUGUGCUACGCCUCCAUUUCCCGGCGUCCAACAAUGUGGCUGAGUACGAGGCUCUGGUCAACGGGUUGCGGAACGCCAUCGAGCUAGGGGUCAGGCGCCUCGACGCCCGCGGUGACUCGCAGCUCGUCAUCGACCAAGUCAUGAAGAACUCCCACUGCCGCGACCCGAAGAUGGAGGCCUAUUGCGAUGAGGUUCGGCGCCUGGAAGACAAGUUCUACGGGCUCGAGCUUAACCACAUCGCUCGGCGCUACAACGAGACUGCGGACGAGCUGGCAAAAAUAGCCUCGGGGCGAACAACGGUUCCCCCGGACGUCUUCUCCCGGGAUCUGCAUCAACCCUCCGUCAAGAUCGACGACACGCCCGAGCCUGAGGCGCCCUCGGUCCAGCCCGAGGUACCCUCGGCACAGCCCGAGGCACCCUCAGCUCGGCCCGAGGCGCCCUCGGUUCAGCCCGAGGUACCCUCGGCCUCCGAGGGCGAAGCACUGCGCAUCGAGGAGGAGCGGAGCGGGGCCACGCCUGAUCAGAAUUGGCAGACCCCGUACCUACAAUAUCUCCGCCAAGGAGAGCUACCCCUCGACCGAGGCGAGGCUCGGCGGGUAGCGCGACGCGCCAAGUCGUUCGUCUUGCUGGGCGAUGAGAAGGAGCUCUAUCACCGCAGCCCCUCGGGCAUCCUCCAGCGAUGCAUCUCCAUCGCCGAAGGUCAGGAACUCCUGCAAGAGAUACACUCGGGCGCUUGCGACCAUCACGCAGCGCCUCGGGCCCUUGUCGGGAAUGCUUUCCGGCAAGGCUUCUACUGGCCAACGGCGGUGGCUGACGCCACUAGAAUUGUCCGCACCUGCGAAGGGUGUCAAUUCUAUGUGAAGCAGACCCACCUGCCCGCUCAGGCUCUGCAGACGAUACCCAUCACCUGGCCCUUUGCUGUGUGGGGUCUGGACCUCGUCGGCCCCUUGCAGAAGGCGCCCGGGGGCUACACGCACCUGCUGGUCGCCAUCAACAAAUUCUCCAAGUGGGUCGAGGUCCGACCUCUGAACAGCAUCAGGUCCGAGCAGGCGGUGACGUUCUUCACCAACAUCAUCCAUCGCUUCGGGGUCCCGAACUCCAUCAUCACCGACAACGGUACCCAGUUCACCGGCAGAAAAUUCUUGGACUUCUGCGAGGAUCACCACAUCCGGGUGGACUGGGCCGCCGUGGCUCAUCCCAUGACGAAUGGGCAAGUAGAGCGUGCCAACGGCAUGAUUCUACAAGGGCUCAAGCCUCGGAUUUACAACGACCUCAACAAGUUCGGCAAGCGAUGGAUGAAGGAACUCCCCUCGGUGGUCUGGAGCCUGAGGACAACGCCGAGCCGAGCCACGGGUUUCACGCCGUUCUUCCUGGUCUACGGGGCCGAGGCCGUCUUGCCCACUGACCUGGAAUACGGCUCCCCGAGGACGAGGGCCUACAGCGAUCAAAGCAACCAAGCUAGCCGAGAAGACUCGCUGGACCAGCUGGAAGAGGCUCGGGACAAGGCCUUACUACACUCGGCGCGGUACCAGCAGUCCCUGCGACGCUACCACGCCCGAGGGGUCCGGCCCCGAGACCUCCAGGUGGGCGACCUGGUGCUUCGGCUGCGGCAAGACGCCCGAGGGAGGCACAAGCUCACGCCCCCCUGGGAGGGGCCAUUCGUCAUCGCCAAAGUUCUGAAGCCCAGAACGUACAAGCUGGCCAACAGUCAAGGCGAGGUCUACGGCAACGCUUGGAACAUCCAACAUCUACGUCGCUUCUACCCUUAAGAUGUUUUCAAGUUGUUCAUAUACCUCGCACCCACGCAAAGUUUAGUCAUCAAGGAAGGGUCGGCCUCGCCUCGGCAAAGCCCGACCCUCCCUCGGGGGCUAAAAGGGGGGAACCCCCUCUGCGUUGAAAUUUUCCUCGAAAAAAGAUCUCUUCUGCCAGAAUAUCUUUCGUGCUUUCUGACUACUUCGAAAAGUGGAUCCUGAAAACGACGGAGUACACGUAAGCAGCCAAGGCUGACCGAGCCGAGGGACUCCUACGCCUCCAGGAUACGGAUACCUCACUCAUCACCUUCUGCGAUAAGUAACUCGCGUUCGGAUAAAGUGAUUCCGCGGACCGAACAAGUCUUCACGUUCGGAAGCUCUUCUGCCGAAGCGAUCCUUCGAGCCUUCUCGACUGAGUCGGUGACAGGGCCUCAUGGACGGGUAAAAGUGCGCGUAAGCGGCAAGGCCGACCGAGCCGAGGGACUCCCACGCCUCCGGGAUACGGAUACCUCACUCAUCACCUUCCGCGAGAAGCAACUCUCGCUCGCACAAACAUCCCUGUUACCGAUAAAAAAGUCCAGAUACUCGAAACAAGAGGAAAGGAGACGCAGCUUUACAACACAGCGAGGGUGUGUAUUCUGGCCUCGGCGGCCGCAGAAGGCACACGCUACAAGACACUCUGAUCCUGCAGGCUCGGGUCUUGACGCUGGAAGGGGGCAGUAGCACCCUCGGCAUCGACGACGCCUUCAGCGAGGUCCGACCUAGCCUCGGACGGCGACGCGGUCCAGGGAUCCCCACUCUGGAGGACGACGUCAUCGCCACGCCCGGACAAUCGCUGCCAGGGACUUCUCCGGGAAUCCGGCCCGAGCAGGCGGCUCGGCUGGUUACCCCUGGGGCCUCGGCCAACCAUCUCCCAAGGGCGCCAGCCCGACCCGAGGCCUCGGCUGAUCAACUCCGGCGUCGGUCCCGCUAACGGACAACCUGGCUAGGCUCCGGCCAACCAGGUUUCAUUUUCGAGCCAACUCCGCCUCUGUUCAUGCUGAUAUCGCUACCCCUGGCCUCGGCUCGUCGAAGAGCGGCCAAGGGGUCCCUUUAACUAAGCUAGAGGAGCCUCAGACAACAAGGCCGACCGAGCCGAGGGACUCCUACGCCUCCGGGAUACGGAUACCUCACUCGUCACCUUGACACGGGGCGACUCAUGCUUGGUAAAGCGGUUCAGAUAAUCAACAGGUGAGUCUUAGUGCUCGAAAAUGAGGAAAAAACACGGCUCCGUGCCAAAAUUACAUACACGUUCAGGCCUCGACAGCCAUAAUGAACAAAAACAGUGGCAUUCAAAAUGCCAUUACAAACGGAACUCUGGUUCCGUCCCCCGCGGGUAUGAGCAACCUCGAGCCUGCGGGGCGACGAACGUCGGGGGACCUGCCAGCGACCUCUGCAGCAGCAGCCAUGGUCCCGGGUGGACGCGGCCACCGGAGGGCUCUCGUUCGCGGUCCCGCUCAAGGGACGCGAACCAGCUAUUAAAGCCAAAGAGCAGGCCGCUCCCAAGCGCACCGGCAGGUCCUCGCUGCCGUCCUCGCCGCGAAUGCGAGGGAGAGGGCGGAAUGUUGCAUCCUAGCUGGGUAGCAACAGUUCGCCUUCCCCGGCAUGGCUGGAGGACGUCUCCGCCGCAGGGCUGGAGGGCGAUUGCCACCACCAGAAGCUGGAAGAAGAGGUGGCCCGCCGACCCGCACAGGAGGUAGAGCCCGGGCUCGCCUCGCUCCCCGCCCCAGCGAGGAUGACGAACACCCUCGAUGCUGAGGGCGGGAUCGGGAUCACAGCCCGGCUUGCCUCUCCCCAUCCAGGAGCUGGAGGUCACCGUCUUGGGUGACCACCAGCGGAGGGGAGCAACCGGGCUGUGUGAUGAAAAUCCUUGAAGCCGAACGAUGGCUGAAAGGUACCAACUCCCACGGAGUUGCGUUCCUCCAACGAUGAGGCGAAAAGAUGGCGGGUAUCCCCCAUCCGGGGGCUUGGAAGGUGGAAAGACGCGAUGCAUAAGGGAGCGAGAAGACAUGGUCGCCUUCCGAAAGGGGUCGCCCUCCUUUUAAAGGCAACUCUCCCUACUUGCGCCCCCAAUCGUCACGGGCUGAGUCUUCUCCAACACGCUCCAAGGCCCUCCCCUGCGGCGCGGGGGCUGGGUCCCGCAUGUCAUGCAAACCGGCUCGGAGCAGAAGAAGCCAAACCGCCGCGCGUGGUGCACACAACCGCCCAGCGGUUACAAGUGACCUUCCACUUUUGCCCAGACCAACGGGCGAAAGAGGCGGGCAGCCAUGCAGGCGGCAUGCAACCGCGCCAAGUGGACGCGCUUCUCCGACUCCCGACACGCCCAGCAUGGAGGCCCAGGCCCACGCGUCACGUAACCGGCGCGCCGGAUGCUGCGUGCAAGCGACUACACCGCCACUUGUGCCACCACCGCGCCUCUUCGGUUGCGGAACCAAUACCGUGACUCGAGGCGACCCAGCACACGACCCAGCAGCGCCAGCCUAGCGCGGCGGUCAAUGCGGUCAAAAAUGGGCCGGCAGUAAUGACGGUGGCAGGCGGGCGGGAGCAGCGGUCGCGUCGUCAGCCUAGCUCACGUCCCAUCCGGGGGCAGCAAGAGAACCCCCUCUCACGGCGUGAAGACAACACGCCCGUGAUCCGUUCCUCGAACGGCUCGCGCACGCGCGACGGCCGCCCCGCCAACCACUCGCCCCGUCGCAUUAACUCCGCGGCGGGACAGGCGACACCUAUGGCAGGAGAAGCGGGCGACGCUUCGCCUUCGCCGUAAUAACCACGCCAAAAAAGGUACGCCGCGUCGUUCGAUUUCGUAUCCUUUUCCUUUUUUCCUCUUUCUCUCUCUUGCAACAGGGACCGGGAAAGGGGGAUACCCCGAAAAGGAUCCUUCCCCGUGAAGGAACCGGGCUCCAAGCCUCCCUACUGAUCAGAGGUUCGAAGGCUGGCCCCUGAGGGGUUCAACAGCCGCCUCAGAUCGCGUGGGCCCUACACCCACUACUGGUCAGAGGUUCGAAGGCCGGCCCCCCGAAGGGUUCCACGGCCGCCUCAGGCUACUCGGGCUCCGCGCCCAUUACUGAUCAGGGGUUCGAAGGCUGGCCCCCGAAGGGUUCACAGCCGCCUCAGACGCCGAGCGAGGGAUGACCAGGGGUACGUUCGAUACAUAACCAAGGCUCGGGCUGCGCUCCCGAGGUACCCUAGGACAUUUUCGAGACCAGCAGGAGCGAUCUUGUAACGGAAUCCCAUCGGAGGGAGGCAUCGAGCCCUCGGACCCCGUCGCCAGGGGACCGGGUCCGGCAGAUCACCCGCAGGUACUUUUGGGCGUGCCUCUGGGCCCCUAGCCGACCCCUAACGAAUGGGGCACGGACGUCCACUCGGAUUACCCGAUUGCAGCUCACCGGAGACACCAUGUUCGGCGCCCAUCGAGGGUAACAUGGCGCUUUCCCCCCUCCUCCUUGCGGAAAGGCGACGCAGGGGCGUAUGUAAAAAAGCCGAGUCUGUCCCUGAUCGCCCUCUCGUCCUUUGCGGAGGCUCGGGGGCUGCUCUCGCAAACCCGGCCUCGGCCGAACCGUUGACAGCGUCAACGUACCAGCCCGAGAACUUGGGCCCCGACCGUACACCCGGGCUACGGCCAGUUCGCAUGAGGGAACAACCAGACCGGCUGAAGCAUUACGCAAGGCAUUAAGACCUCGGAGGAGUGAAACCACUCCUCCGAGGCCUCGGGGGCUACACCCGGCGGGUGCGCUCGCGCGCACCCACCGGAACAAAAGGCAACCGAGAAAGGCUGGUCCCCUUGCAAAAAAGUGCGACGAAAGCCUCCAAGCGAGUGCUAACACUCCCUUCGAGGCUCGGGGGCUACUGUCGGGGACCAUAAUUAGGGGUACCCUCAAGACUCCUAAUUCUCAGCUGGUAACCCCCAUCAGCAUAAAGCUGCAAAGGCCUGAUGGGUGCGAUUAAGUCAGGGAUCAGUUCAUUCGAGCGACUCGAUCAUGCCUCGCCCGAGCCUAGCCUCGGACAAGGGCAGCCGACCCCGGGGGAUUUCCGUCUCGCCCGAGGCCCCCCUCCAACGGCGGACACAUCUCCGGCUCGCCCGAGGCCCUGCCUUCGCUAAGAAGCAACCCUGACUAAAUCGCCGCACCGACCGACCGAAUCGCAGGAGCAUUUAACACAAAGGUGGUCUGACACCUUUAUCCUGACGCACGCCCCCCGGCAGAGCCGAAGUGACCGCCGUCACUUCGUCGCUCCACUGACCGGCCUGACAAAAGGACAGCGCCGCCUGCGCCACUCCGACUGCAGUGCCACUUGACAGAGUGAGACUGACAGGUAGUCAGGCCCUGCCAGAGGCACCAUAGGAAGCUCCGCUCCGCCCGACCCAGAGCUCGGACUCGGGCUAAGUCCCGGAAGACGGCGAACUCCGCUCCGCCCGACCCAGGGCUCGGACUCGGGCUAGGUCCCGGAAGACGGCAAACUCCGCUCCGCCCGACCCAGGGCUCGAACUCGGGCUAGGUCCCGGAAGACGGCGAACUCCGCUCCGCCCGACCCAGGGCUCGGACUCGGGCUAGGUCCCGGAAGACGGCGAACUCCGCUCCGCCCGACCCAGGGCUCGGACUCGGGCUAAGUCCCGGAAGACGACGAACUCCGCUCCGCCCGACCCAGGGCUCGGACUCGGGCUCAGCCCCGGAAGACGACGAACUCCGCUUCGCCCGACCCCAGGGCUCGGACUCCGCCCUGGCCUCUGCCGAACGACCUCCGCCUCGCCCGACCCAGGGGCUCGGGCUCGGCCUCGGCCAUGGAAGACAGACUCGACCUCGGCUUCGGAGGAGCCUCCACGUCGCCCAACCUAGGGCGCAGGCCAGCCACGUCAAUAGGAAGCGCCAUCAUCACCCUACCCCGAGCUGACUCGGGCCGCAGAGAACAAGACCGGAGUCUCAUCUGGCUAGCUCCGCCAGAUAGGCAAUGAUGGCGCCCCGCAUGCUCUGUGACGACGGCGGCUCUCAGCUCUCUUACGGAAGCAGGAGGACGUCAGCAAGGACUCAACCGCUCCGACAGCUGUCCCUCCGCCAGGCUCCGUCGCUCCUCCGACGGCCACGACAUCACACCAGCUGGGUGCCAAAAUCUCUCCGGCUGCCACAUCGGCAUGUACUUAGGGCGCUAGCUCUCCCCCGCUAGACACGUAGCACUCUGCUACACCCCCAUUGUACACAUGGAUCCUCUCCUUACGCCUAUAAAAGGAAGGACCAGGACCCUCUUAGAGGAGGUUGGCCGCGCGGGGACGAGGACGGGACAGGCGCUCUCUUGGGGCCGCUCGCUUCCCUCUCCCGCGUGGACGCUUGUAACCCCCUACUGCAAGCGCACCCGACCUGGGCGCGGGACGAACACGAAGGCCGCGGGAUUCCCACCUCUCUAACGUCGGUCACCGGCCGCCUCGCUUCUUCCCCCCUUCGCGCUCGCCCACGCGCUCGACCCAUCUGGGCUGGGGCACGCGGCGACACUCACUCGUCAGCCCGAGGGACCCCCGGUCUCGAAACGCCGACAGACCCUAUCCAUCCUCAAUCCUGCCCGUCCACUCCUUAUCCAAUGGCUCAGAUCCCUUCACCAAAGGAGUAUAUUUGCUUUUAAUCACAAACGCCCAUCGCGAGAUGGACGGUAGCCGUACCCUCUUCAACCUCACGCGCAGCAACGGCCAGAAAUCGCCCCAACCAGCGGAGCCCUCACCAGCGCGCCACCAAAUUUGCCAGCUCCGGUGACAACGUUCCCAUGGUGAUGCGCGAAAACAAAAUCGAAGCAAGGCGGUUACGAAGGGGUGUCUCACCGGAUGGUUAAGCGUUGGCCGAGCGGGUUCGCGACGGAAGACUUGCUUGCCGCAGCUUCCCACCAUGGACCCGACGGAACAUGGCACCUGGCGUAGGGCGUCGGUCGUCUUCGUCGCCAGGAGAGAAAGAGGGAUGAACGCCUAAACGGGAGAAGAAUUCCAAGAAACAGGAACGACAAUUCCUGCUCCCACGGUCUCUCUCCCCAGGCGACGGUGCUCCCCUCCCUGUUUUUUUUCCUGGGAACAAGAACGUGAUUAUGUUUCUCGGCCAGCACCGUAGAGGUGGGAGGGGGAAAGACCUGGUCUUUAUAUCCGCAGAUGGAUUCCUAGCCGCAACAGUCCGACCGAGUGGUUGCCGGCAAUCACGG
rnacentral:lncRNA from 1 species